rnacentral:tRNA from 1 species
CGGGGCGUAGCGCAGUGGCUAGCGCGCCUGCUUUGGGGGCAGGAGAUCGGGAGUUCGAGUCUCCCCGCCCCGA